CAGGAACCUACGGCAGUGUGAGACUUUCUCAAGGGCGUGGGGCCAUCCCAGCUAAGGUGUGACAGACAACAGCACUGUGCUGCCCACAUGCUCAGGGGACUACAUAGCCAUGUGGUAUCCUGUCACCAUCCUGUCAUUACAACGCUUGAAUAGUGCAGAGAAGUGGGAAGAAAGCCAAUGGAGGUGUGGAUUUUGGGUUUUACAACUACAUGGGUCAUCGAGGUGCCUACGAACUUCACCAGGGAUAACUGAAAAUGUCAAUGUGUAGGAAAUAAGCAAGUGUGUGUGCUCUCACUGACCUUGUACCCACAACUUAUAAACCACUGUGCCAGU
rnacentral:lncRNA from 1 species